UCACUAGCCGAGCUCUUUAUUGACAGCACUUACAUUCUUUGAAGGAAAAUGAUCUCACUCUUUCACGGGCAAUAGUAGCCGAAAGGAUUCCAGACUGAGACUAGAGUUCAGUUUCACCACCAUGUUGGGCUUCUGUUCCCUGGAGCACAGCACUGGGUCGAAGGCGGCUGAAUCUGGAAGAGAUUUUGACGUCACUCACGGGUUGUUGUGAGAAUUAGAUGAGAGAAUCCAUGUGAGGCCACCCAGCAAUGCCUGUGAAGAAAGGUAGGCUCUUUCACCACCUUCCCCUCCUCUUAGGAGGCCAUUUCCCUUGUUGAGAAAACACUUCAGAAAACCCAUCAUCUCCCUGGGCAAGUAGAGAGAUUCAUCCCGGCUGCCUGGCAUUUUCAGAAGCCUUGCAGCCAUUCUGAAGAUUCUGCGGGCAAUGGAUGAAACUAGAUUUCCAAUAAACUACUCCACACCAGGACAUCCCCCAGCCGGAGAGGCCGACUUCAGUCCAAAAUUGAGCUGAGUUUGCCAUCUAGAGGAUGUCCAUGGACAGGCAGGCACCAGCACCUACUUUGGCGCUGAAACAGAGAUCUUCACAACAACCCUAGGAAGCAGACAUUGUCAUCCCAAUCCUACUACUGAGGCACCUGGAGCUCAACAAAGUUAUGACUUGCCCAAGGGCACACCACUAAAAAAUGGAGGAGUAAGAACUUCAUCCCAUGUCAGGCUAACUCCAUCCUCCUAGGACCUUUUCCAUUGGGCCACAAAUUAUAUGAACUUUUAAUUUCAAGUUUCUGGUAACAUUGUGACUCACUGAAUUAUUCUUAACCUCCCACAUUCUGGGAUCUUUUUUCCCUAGACAUCAAGAAUCAGCUCUUAAGCAUUAUCACUGUAUCGCCCAGUACCUAGUAUAGUGCCUGGCUAGUCUGAAGCCCCAGUAAACCAAUGUCGAAUGAAUGAAGAAAUGUAUGUGUGUCCAAGUCAAUUGGGAAGAGAUAGAACAACUGUCUCCUACCUAUUAAGGCUUUAUUUAAACAGCAAGAAUAAAA
rnacentral:lncRNA from 1 species